AUUUUCUGAGAGGACACAUGAUGCACUCAGACUUGAAUGCAAGUCUUGCUUCCUCCUGACAUUUCAUCAAUCUCUAUGCAAAUGCUGACUGGCCCUACCUAAAACUUUGAGCUGAAAAUGGAAGACAGUAAGAGAAAAGAUCUAUGCAUAGAGAGGAGAAAAAGAAAACAGGAGAAACAGAAAAUCACAGAAAAGGAAAGGGAAGAUUUGGUGUGAAUCUGGGCAAUCCUACCAGGGAGAAAUCCAAGGUCAAAGUAAAACAAUGACUUAUAAUGAGAAACAGGAAGACUACACAGUCUUGUUCCUUAUCUACAUGGAAAACCACAAGUUGGCUGGCAUUGAGACACUCUCUACCUUCCUGUAAAUCCUGUAUUAAAACCAGUUCAAGAACCCUGGAGAAGUUUCCAGCUUCCUAAGAUCCUUAUUUCUUAUUAUCCUAUGUGAAAACUGAAAGUCAACAAUUUAUCUUGCCUACUCAUACUUUGAAGAAGUAAAUCUCAACCGAGAGAUACUUGAAAGUAGAGACAUUUUUUACUUACCACAUUUUCCUUAUCACAAUGUGAACUGAAAUCACUUGAUACAAUUGCAGCAUACUGGAG
rnacentral:lncRNA from 1 species